rnacentral:rRNA from 1 species
GGUGAACGCUAGCGGCAGGCCUAACACAUGCAAGUCGAGGGGUAGCAGGAUUAAGCUUGCUUAAUUGCUGACGACCGGCGCACGGGUGCGUAACGCGUAUGCAACCUACCUUAUACUGGGGUAUAGCCCGGAGAAAUUCGGAUUAAUCCCCCAUAGUACUAAUGAAUCGCAUGGUUUAUUAGUUAAAGCAUUGCGGUAUAAGAUGGGCAUGCGUCCUAUUAGCUAGAUGGUGAGGUAACGGCUCACCAUGGCUACGAUAGGUAGGGGGCCUGACAGGAUGGUCCCCCACACUGGUACUGAGACAGGGACCAGCCACAUACGGGAGGCAGCAGUGAGGAGUAUUGGUGCAGGGGCGCAGCCUGAACCAGCCAUGCAGCGUGCAGGAAGAAUGCCAUAUGGGUUGUAAACUGCUUUUAUUUGGGAAUAAACCUCUUUACGUGUAGAGAGCUGAAGGUACCAAAUGAAUAAGCACCGGCUAACUCCGUGCCAGCAGCCGCCGUAA